UGGGGCUUAGGAUUCUAACGAAAUCAAUUUACUCUUCACCUAAGGACCCAGGUGAGAAUACGUUAUCUUACUAAAUCCAAUAUCCAUUUCUUAUUAUUUGUCCCUACUUGCGAUUGUUUCCGAUUACUGAUUCCUUUUUCUCUUUUCAAACGAUCUUACUGAAAUAAAAACAAAUUUCCCCGACGAUCCUUUGAUACAUCUGCAACUUAUUGUCUUCAAAUGGCAUCGGGGAAGUGCCGCGGGGAUUGGUGAUUUCUAGGUGAAUGAUUCCCAGACAAAAAUGGAUACAGGUACAAAUAUAGUUUGGGAUGCACGGAAGCACCAUCAGUUGACAAUGGUGUUGGUCUGAUGAAAUAAAUAGAGAACCGAGUUGGUAUUUUAUAAUAAAGUGGCGGUUAUUAGAAGUGAAUAUAGAACAAUCUCUAGUUGAAAUUGGUGUUGGUCUGACCAAAUAAAGUGAGAACCAAAAUCGUAUGGUAUAAUAAAUUGGCGGUUAGUAAGAGAGUGAACAAUAGACAUUUUGAAAAUUAUGCGGGACGAAAUAGUGUGACCAAUGGCAUUUCAUGUAAAUUUUCUAGUAAUAAAAGGGGAUUUAAAUAA